UUAACAUGCCAAGUUAUUUGGUUGUCAUUCGUAGGCGCGGUUGUGUUGGUUUCUUGUCGGGGAGAUUAGACAUAGAAUAACGUUGAGUCCAAGACUGGUUCAAUCCUUGACACAAAUACACAGUUAUCCUCUAUCCAAGGAACCUUUCCCAGCUUUUCUUUUCAUUCAUCUGCCUUUGACAUUUUUGGUUAAGAAGAUUACCUGUAUAUGUUAUUGUUGAUAUCAUAUAAUGGCUGAAAGCUAUAGUAAUGCAACUGGAAACUCACCAUAUCAUAUGAUGACUGAAAGCUAUAGUAAUGCUAGUAAUGCAAGUGCAAGCUCAACCUCAAGUUUGAAUAGCAGCCUCCCAGAUACAGAGGAUGACCAAACCAUUGCAAGCAUCUUAGCUGAAGAGGAAAACUCUAAUGUUGCUGGAAAGCUUGGGAAGAGACUCUCUCAUUUGGAUUCCAUCCCAGUAUCUCCCUUUCCAUGUCUAUAUUUUGCCUUUUCCUCUGUUAUCUAAAUACAUACAACUGGAUUUUGCA